AGUGAACGCUGGCGGUGGGCCUAACACAUGCAAGUCGAACGGCAGCACAGUAAGAGCUUGCUCUUACGGGUGGCGAGUGGCGGACGGGUGAGGAAUACAUCGGAAUCUACUUUUUCGUGGGGGAUAACGUAGGGAAACUUACGCUACUACCGCAUACGACCUACGGGUGAAAGCAGUGGAUCUUCGGACCUUGCGCGAUUGAAUGAGCCGAUGUCGGAUUAGCUAGUUGGCGGGGUAAAGGCCCACCAAGGCGACGAUCCGUAGCUGGUCUGAGAGGAUGAUCAGCCACACUGGAACUGGGACACGGUCCAGACUCCUACGGGAGGCAGCAGUGGGGAAUAUUGGACAAUGGGCGCAAGCCUGAUCCAGCCAUACCGCGUGGGUGAAGAAGGCCUUCGGGUUGUAAAGCCCUUUUGUUGGGAAAGAAAAGCAGCAUGUUAAUACCUCGCUGUUCUGACGGUACCCAAAGAAUAAGCACCGGCUAACUUCGUG
rnacentral:rRNA from 1 species